UGAGCCGCCCCGGUGUGGCCCAAAUUAAUUCGGGUCGGACUGGAAAUAAGAGUGAGAGAGAAGCCUAGCGAGCGAGAGAGAGAGAGAUGACGACGGUGGUGAAGAGCGUGUUGCAGGCGAUCAGAGAGAAAGGUCUCCGCAGUCUCUUGAGGGAGGCGAGGGAAGAAGGUUACCUGAAAUGUCUAGCUGAUGGAAACCUUCUGUAAGUCAUUAUUUCACUUAUACUUGAAUGCUUUUGUUACUUGAUAUGUUUGUUUAACAAAGAAGCAAAGCUACUUGGUUAUAUGAUAGUUUGAUCUUUUCAAGAAUGGGGAAAUACCCUUGAUUUUUCUUUUGGUGAAGAGGAAUAUCCUUGAAUAAAAGGUGCAAGGAUGUCUUGUUUGUUAUACUGUCCCAUCUUCUGGACAUGCUCAACAAACUAUCUUGUGUGUUCAUUCAGGCUUUAAGUCACAUAGAACAUAUUAUCGUAA